UAGCUACAGGCUUAACACAUGCAAGUCGAGGGGCAGCAUGGUCUUAGCUUGCUAAGGCCGAUGGCGACCGGCGCACGGGUGAGUAACACGUAUCCAACCUGCCGUCUACUCUUGGACAGCCUUCUGAAAGGAAGAUUAAUACAAGAUGGCAUCAUGAGUCCACAUGUUCACAUGAUUAAAGGUAUUCCGGUAGACGAUGGGGAUGCGUUCCAUUAGAUAGUAGGCGGGGUAACGGCCCACCUAGUCUUCGAUGGAUAGGGGUUCUGAGAGGAAGGUCCCCCACAUUGGAACUGAGACACGGUCCAAACUCCUACGGGAGGCAGCAGUGAGGAAUAUUGGUCAAUGGGCGAGAGCCUGAACCAGCCAAGUAGCGUGAAGGAUGACUGCCCUAUGGGUUGUAAACUUCUUUUAUAAAGGAAUAAAGUCGGGUAUGCAUACCCGUUUGCAUGUACUUUAUGAAUAAGGAUCGGCUAACUCCGUGCCAGCAGCCGCGGUAAUACGGAGGAUCCGAGCGUUAUCCGGAUUUAUUGGGUUUAAAGGGAGCGUAGAUGGAUGUUUAAGUCAGUUGUGAAAGUUUGCGGCUCAACCGUAAAAUUGCAGUUGAUACUGGAUAUCUUGAGUGCAGUUGAGGCAGGCGGAAUUCGUGGUGUAGCGGUGAAAUGCUUAGAUAUCACGAAGAACUCCGAUUGCGAAGGCAGCCUGCUAAGCUGCAACUGACAUUGAGGCUCGAAAGUGUGGGUAUCAAACAGGAUUAGAUACCCUGGUAGUCCACACGGUAAACGAUGAAUACUCGCUGUUUGCGAUAUACUGCAAGCGGCCAAGCGAAAGCGUUAAGUAUUCCACCUGGGGAGUACGCCGGCAACGGUGAAACUCAAAGGAAUUGACGGGGGCCCGCACAAGCGGAGGAACAUGUGGUUUAAUUCGAUGAUACGCGAGGAACCUUACCCGGGCUUAAAUUGCAGAUGAAUUACGGUGAAAGCCGUAAGCCGCAAGGCAUCUGUGAAGGUGCUGCAUGGUUGUCGUCAGCUCGUGCCGUGAGGUGUCGGCUUAAGUGCCAUAACGAGCGCAACCCUUGUUGUCAGUUACUAACAGGUUCCGCUGAGGACUCUGACAAGACUGCCAUCGUAAGAUGUGAGGAAGGUGGGGAUGACGUCAAAUCAGCACGGCCCUUACGUCCGGGGCUACACACGUGUUACAAUGGGGGGUACAGAGGGCCGCUACCACGCGAGUGGAUGCCAAUCCCCAAAACCUCUCUCAGUUCGGACUGGAGUCUGCAACCCGACUCCACGAAGCUGGAUUCGCUAGUAAUCGCGCAUCAGCCACGGCGCGGUGAAUACGUUCCCGGGCCUUGUACACACCGCCCGUCAAGCCAUGGGAGCCGGGGGUACCUGAAGUGCGUAACCGCGAGGAGCGCCCUAGGGUAAAACUGGUGACUGGGGCU
rnacentral:rRNA from 1 species